rnacentral:rRNA from 1 species
GGCGGCAGGUCUUAGGCAUGCAAGUCGAACGGAUGACAGAGAGCUUGCUCUCUGAAGUCAGUGGCGCACGAGUGAGUAACGCGUGGGAAACUGCCCUUACACUGGGGAAUAACGUUUGGAAACGAACGCUAAUACCGCAUACGCCCGCAAGGGGAAAGAUUUAUCGGUGAUGGAUGUGCCCGCGUUGGAUUAGCUAGUUGGUGGGGUAAUGGCCUACCAAGGCGAUGAUCCAUAGCUGGUCUGAGAGGACGAUCAGCCACGCUGGAACUGAGACACGGUCCAGACUCCUACGGGAGGCAGCAGCUAAGAAUAUUGGGCAAUGGAGGAAACUCUGACCCAACGCCAUGCCGCGUGAAAUGAAGAAGGCCUUCGGGUUGUAAAGUUCUUUUAGUCAUGAAGAUGAUGACAGUAGUGACAGAAAAAGCACCGGCUAACUUCGUGCCAGCCGCCGC